rnacentral:rRNA from 1 species
CGUACACUCCUGCGGGAGGCAGCAGUGGGGAAUAUUGGACAAUGGGCGCAAGCCUGAUCCAGCCAUGCCGCGUGAGUGAUGAACGCCCUAGGGUUGUAAAGCUCUUUCACCGGUGAAGAUAAUGACGGUAACCGGAGAAGAAGCCCCGGCUAACUUCGUGCCAGCCGCCGCGGUAAUACGAAGGGGGCUAGCGUUGUUCGGAUUUACUGGGCGUAAAGCGCACGUAGGCGGACUAUUAAGUCAGGGGUGAAAUCCCGGGGCUCAACCCCGGAACUGCCUUUGAUACUGGUAGUCUUGAGUUCGAGAGAGGUGAGUGGAAUUCCGAGUGUAGAGGUGAAAUUCGUAGAUAUUCGGAGGAACACCAGUGGCGAAGGCGGCUCACUGGGUCGAUACUGACGCUGAGGUGCGAAAGCGUGGGGAGCAAACAGGAUUAGAAACCCUAGUAGUCCCA